GAAAAAACGAGUUGCAAACCAAGACCCAUUAUCGGUUGACUAUUUACGUGUUUCUAAUUCUAUUUAGUCUUUGAUUUAAUCUUUCCAUUGUUGUUUCAAUCUUCAUCCUCAAAUCCGAAUAUGUUUGAGAAUGAACAAUGACUUCUUUUAAUUCAUACCCAUACUCUGUAUUUGAAUUUUGUUGAUGACAUCAUUGAAUUGACUAUCAAUGGUGAAUUCAAUAAUGGAGGGUUGUCUUUUGCCAUUACUUUUUGUCUUCCCACUUGUAAUUCAAGAAUGUCUAUUUAAUGUUAAGAAGAAAUUCUCUAAGAAAUUACUAUAAGGAAAUUUAAUGAUGUUAAUAUAAAAGGGAUAUGUUUGUCUAUUUGAUGGAACUUAUGUAUAAAUUUUGAUAUUAAUGACAUGUUCAGAAGUUUCAUAGAAUGUUUGUGAGUGAGAAUAAAACAUUAAGAAAAGUCUCGUGAUAUUUUGAUAGGAUACUCACAAAUACUUAAAGUUAUCUAGGAUGUUACAUAUUACUUAUUUCAUUAUGAUAAAUUUUAAUUGCAUUAGAUGUACAAUCUGCAAUUU
rnacentral:lncRNA from 1 species